rnacentral:rRNA from 1 species
AUUGAACGCUGGCGGCAUGCCUUACACAUGCAAGUCGAACGGCAGCACGGGGGCAACCCUGGUGGCGAGUGGCGAACGGGUGAGUAAUACAUCGGAAUGUACCCAGUAGUGGGGGAUAACUAGUCGAAAGAUUAGCUAAUACCGCAUACGCACUAUGGUGGAAAGCGGGGGAUCGCAAGACCUCGCGCUAUUGGAGCAGCCGAUGUCCGAUUAGGUAGUUGGUGGGGUAAAGGCCUACCAAGCCUGCGAUCGGUAACUGGUCUGAGAGGACGACCAGUCACACUGGGACUGAGACACGGCCCAGACUCCUACGGGAGGCAGCAGUGGGGAAUAUUGGGCAAUGGGGGGAACCCUGACCCAGCAACGCCGCGUGAAGGAAGAAGGCCUCGGUGUAACUACUUGUACAGGGAAGAAGGAAGUAGACGGUACCGUCGAGAACAAGACUCCGGCGUAACUACGUGCCAGCAGCCGCGGUAAAGUACACGUCG